GAGAGUGAAAAUCGGGACAGAGGCCUCCAGCCCCUCCCCUUUCUUUUCUCUUCUCCUCGGACCGGACCCAAAUUCCGGCGAAAUCACCGUAGCCGGACCCUAGUUGGACUCGUCGCCGGCCAUCGAAGCUUCCUCUUUUCCUUCUCCUCCAUCUCAGCUUGAAUCGACCGGUGGAGGAAGAAUUGAAGGUGUUUGAGAAUGUGAACAGUGACAUGAACAGUAACUGACGAAUUCUUGGUUUUUGUUUUGGAUUUUCCAGCCAAAUCGUUGGAAAUUGUUGGUUGUUGCAGGUAUAGAAAUUGUUGGGUUAGUUGUGGAGAUUAUUUUGAGCUUGAUGUUUUGGCCGGAUUUGGGAGAUUGGUGGGGUGGUGCGUGAAGCCAUGCACCGCUGGUGGUGGUGGUGGUGAGCAGGCUCUGUCAGCCCCUCCAACACCUAUUAAUUUAAUCUUGGAGUUAUGUUUCAGACUUGAGGUUGUUUGUUUUGAGAUUUAUUGGAAAUUUGAUGUUGGAUA